AAUGAACGCUGGCGGCGUGCCUAACACAUGCAAGUCGAACGAGAAAGCCCGCAAGGGUGAGUACAGUGGCGCACGGGUGAGUAAUACAUAGGAAUCUGCCUCUGAGUGAAGAAUACCCUAGAGAAAUUUAGGUUAAUACUGCAUAAGCCCAGAAAUGGGGAAAAAUGGCCUCAAGCUACCGCUGAGAGAUGAGCCUAUGGCCUAUUAGCUAGUUGGUAGGGUAAAAGCCUACCAAGGCGAGGAUGGGUAGCCGGCCUGAGAGGGUGUACGGCCACACUGGGACUGAGACACGGCCCAGACUCCUACGGGAGGCAGCAGUGGGGAAUAUUGGACAAUGGGGGGAACCCUGAUCCAGCCAUGCCGCGUGUGUGAAGAAGGCCUUAUGGUUGUAAAGCACUUUAAGCGAGGAGGAGGCUACUUUAGUUAAUACCUAGAGAUAGUGGACGUUACUCGCAGAAUAAGCACCGGCUAACUCUGUGCCAGCCGCCGCGGUAA
rnacentral:rRNA from 1 species